UACGUAGGGGGCGAGCGUUGUCCGGAUUUAUUGGGCGUAAAGAGCUCGUAGGCCGUUCGGUAAGUCAGAUGUGAAAACUCCAGGCUCAACUUGGAGAGGCCAUCUGAUACUGCUGUGACUAGAGUCCGGUAGGGGAGCACGGAAUUCCUGGUGUAGCGGUGAAAUGCGCAGAUAUCAGGAGGAACACCAGCGGCGAAGGCGGUGCUCUGGGCCGGAACUGACGCUGAGGAGCGAAAGCGUGGGGAGCAAACAGG
rnacentral:rRNA from 1 species